rnacentral:rRNA from 1 species
GGGGGAUAUUGGACAAUGGGGGAAACCCUGAUCCAGCGACGCCGCGUGAGUGAAGAAGUAUUUCGGUAUGUAAAGCUCUAUCAGCAGGAAAGAAAAUGACGGUACCUGACUAAGAAGCCCCGGCUAACUAC